GGCAGACAGACAAGGCAGAGGUAGACAGACAGACGUAAAGUUUGGCUUGUUUGCCUGCUUCACCUUACUUUGUCAUAUAUUCUUCGUUAGUACAGGAAACUGGACAGCGUCUUACUUUCGAGCAACAGAUAACACAGGAAAGACUUUCUAAGAGUAUUCCCUUUAGUUGCGCAAUUCAUGAGCAAUAAAUGAGCUGGCUGCCAGGUUUAUGAACUUGUGAAGAGUGCUAAGAUUCUUAUCAUCUAUCAGGUUUUUUUUUUUUUUUGCUUUAUUCAUGAGCAAACUCUCUACUCACACUGCAGGACCUUUUUUUGUUAUUUUUUUAGAGCUCCAGUAUGGCGAUUACACUAAGUUAACCAUUUGAUUCCACAGACGUCGCUUUAAAAUCCAGACAUGUUUGAAAACGUUCUAUAAAAGGGCUAACUGAGAGGCAGACAACCCCAAGUCUUACAGUCACAGGGAGAACAUGGAAACACCACACAGAAAGGUUUCGGCUGAAUUCAAAACAGGACCUCCUUACUGUGAGGUGACAGCGUAAGGCUUUAGACACACACAUCCUGUGUUACAGUGCAGCUGGACAUUUGGAUAAUAUUGAGUAUACGCAGACAUUAGACCUGCAUCUCGUCGUGGAGGAUGCAUACUUCCCUGGAAUUUUCUGUCAUCUAUUGUUGUCCCCUAACAACUCCCCAGACCCCCAAGAUCAACAUCAUCAAGGAUUUGGCUGCUGCUCAUUAAACACCCGAUCACAAGGUGAAUUAUCUGAGACAGCAGCACCCUCAAGAGGAGAAGAAGGCAGAGUGCAGGGAUGUUACUGUGAUUGCAAUAACGCAGUACUUUUACUACAUUUUAGGAGUAGCCACUGUAUUUUUAAGUGCACUUCAAUUGAAAGCUUUUGUUUCCCCCCCCCUUUUUUCCACUUAUCCAGUUCCACUAGAAAUGAGUGCAUCUGAAAAUGUGAAAUUUACAGUGGAGCCUGUAAUUGUGAUUUAAAGGCCAAACAGCCACAAGCUCCCAGAAUGCAUUGCUAUUUACAGAAUAUUACUGUACUUUAAAAAAAUACAGUAAAAUCAUGCUGUGAUUUUUGCAGGAAAUCAUUAGAACAUAUAAUGUUUUUUUUAGUCUGAGUACAAAGUCAGCCAGCUACUAUUUAUGGAGUUCAGGAGUGCUGGUGGUGACUAAUCCUAAGGAUAUAUUGGCCUGACCUUCUUGUCUUCAGUCAGCCUCGGUAACACUGAUGAGAUAAAGAUGACUACUAAAAAUCAAAGCUAUGCUUUUUUUUUCAUGAGUACAAAUGUACUUCAGCACCUCCACAGGUUGACACUUUUCCCAACUAACCAAAUUAAAAAUCUUUUGAGUUUCUGUGACGUGUUGACUAAACUGAUUUUUUAUUGAGUGAGCUGUGUGUGUCUC